rnacentral:rRNA from 1 species
AGAGUUUGAUCCUGGCUCAGGAUGAACGCUAGCGGUGUGCCUAAUGCAUGCAAGUCGAACGGGAAGCUUGACUUCGGUUAAGUUGAGAGUGGCGAACGGGUGAGUAACACGUUGGUGACCUGCCCUAGAGAGGGGGACAACCAUUGGAAACGAUGGCUAAUACCCCGGAUGUCAACAUGUUUAGAGAAGUAUUGACUAAAACUCCGGUGCUCUAGGAGGGGCCAGCGGCCCAUCAGCUAGUUGGUAAGGUAAAGGCUUACCAAGGCAUAGACGGGUAGGGGGCGUGAGAGCGUGAUCCCCCACACUGGUACUGAGACACGGACCAGAUACCUACGGGUAGCAGCAGCAAGGAAUAUUGCCCAAUGGACGAAAGUCUGAGGCAGCAACACCGCGUGGAGGAAGAAGGCCUUCGGGUCGUAAACUCCUUUUCUGAGGGAUGAGGAAGGACAGUACCUCAGGAAUAAGUCUCGGCUAACUACUGCCAGCAGCCGCGGUAAACGUAGGAGGCAAGCGUUAUCCGGAUUUACUGGGCGUAAAGCGCAUGCAGGCGGUUUUAAAAGUUGGACGUGAAAGCUCCUGGCUUAACUAGGAGAGGCCGUUCAAAACUAUAAGACUAGAGGAUGAUAGAGGAGAGUGGAAUUCCCGGUGUAGUGGUGAAAUGCGUAGAUAUCGGGAGGAACACCAGUGGCGAAGGCGGCUCUCCGGGUCAUACCUGACGCUCAGAUGCGAAAGCUAGGGGAGAGAACGGGAUUAGAAACCCCGGUAUUCCUAGCCGUAAACGAUGUCAACUAAGUGUAGGAGGUUAUAAACCCCUUCUGUGCUGAAGCAAACGCGGUAAGUUGACCGCCUGGGGACUACGGCCGCAAGGCUAAAACUCAAAGGAAUUGACGGGGGCCCGCACAAGCAGCGGAGCGUGUGGUUUAAUUCGAUUCAACGCGAAGAACCUUACCAGGGCUUGACAUAUACGUGGUAGAAAGUGGAAACACAAUCGACCCUUCGGGGAGCGUAUACAGGUGCUGCAUGGCUGUCGUCAGCUCGUGCCGUGAGGUGUUCGGUUAAGUCCGAUAACGAGCGCAACCCUCAUCGUUAGUUAUAAGUGUCUAGCGAGACUGCCGGUGAUAAACCGGAGGAAGGCGGGAUGACGUCAAGUCAGCAUGGCCUUUAUGUCCUGGGCUACACACACGCUACAAUGGCCAGUACAAUGGGUAGCCAAGCCGCGAGGUGGAGCCAAUCCCCCAAAACUGGUCUCAGUUCGGAUUGUAGGCUGAAACUCGCCUGCAUGAAGUCGGAGUUGCUAGUAAACGCACGUCAGCACAGCGCGUUGAAUACGUUCCCGGGCCUUGUACACACCGCCCGUCACGUCAUGGAAGUUGGCAACGCCUAAAGUCAGUGAGCUAACCCUAACGGGAGGCAACUGCCUAAGGCGGGGUCGGUAACUGGGACGAAGUCGAAACAAGGUA